GCGGGGUUGGUGUAGUUGGUUUAUCACGUCAGUCUAACAGCGCGUUUCUUCCAUCCAAGAAGCCUGUGGAGAGCACUGAAGGUCGCGAGUUCAAGUCUCGCAUCCCGUA